rnacentral:lncRNA from 1 species
CAAUGUUGCUGAAGGGUCAGAAUAGAAGCCUAUGCAAAGAAACACAAAAAAGAAAUGAAAGAAAAGUCUCCUUUAUUUCAAAAGGAAACAUACAUGUGAUCAAGGCACAAGAGAGGCAUCCAUGUGAGGCCUGGCCCAAGAGGCCUUUUCCCUCCCAUGCCAUGUGGAUCCGUGGCUUCUCACGGAGGCCACUGCAAGCACCCCACC